rnacentral:rRNA from 1 species
AUUGAACGCUGGCGGCAUGCCUUACACAUGCAAGUCGAACGGCAGCGGGGGAGAAGCUUGCUUUUCCUGCCGGCGAGUGGCGAACGGGUGAGUAAUACAUCGGAACGUGCCCUGUAGUGGGGGAUAACUAGUCGAAAGAUUAGCUAAUACCGCAUACGACCUGAGGGUGAAAGUGGGGGUCCGCAAGGCCUCAUGCUAUAGGAGCGGCCGAUGUCUGAUUAGCUAGUUGGUGGGGUAAAGGCCUACCAAGGCGACGAUCAGUAGCUGGGCUGAGAGGACGAUCAGCCACCCAGGGACUGAGAAACGGCCCAGACGCCUACGGGAGGCAGCAGUGGGGAAUUUUGGACAAUGGGCGAAAGCCUGAUCCAGCAAUGCCGCGUGUGUGAAGAAGGCCUUCGGGUUGUAAAGCACUUUUGUCCGGAAAGAAAUGGCUCUGGUUAAUACCUGGGGUCGAUGACGGUACCGGAAGAAUAAGGACCGGCUAACUACGUGCCAGCAGCCGCCGCCG